UACGUAGGGACCAAGCGUUGUUCGGAUUUACUGGGCGUAAAGGGCGCGUAGGCGGCAAUUCAAGUCAUCUGUGAAAUCUCCGGGCUUAACCCGGAACGGUCAGAUGAUACUGCUUUGCUAGAGUGCGGAAGGGGCAAUCGGAAUUCCUGGUGUAGCGGUGAAAUGCGCAGAUAUCAGGAGGAACACCGGUGGCGAAGGCGGGUCUCUGGGCCGAUACUGACGCUGAGGAGCGAAAACGUGGGGAGCGAACAGG
rnacentral:rRNA from 1 species